rnacentral:rRNA from 1 species
CGCGUAGGCGGUAUCUUAAGUCAGAGGUGAAAACUGUGGGCUCAACCCACAGCCUGCCUUUGAAACUGGGAGACUUGAGGGCAGGAGAGGGGAGUGGAAUUCCCAGUGUAGCGGUGAAAUGCGUAGAUAUUGGGAGGAACACCAGUGGCGAAGGCGGCUCUCUGGCCUGUUUCUGACGCUGAGGCGCGAAAGCGUGGGGAGCAAACG